AUGCAUGCAGUCGUACGCACGCGCUUCGGCGCGUGAGUGGCGCACGGCUGAGUAACACGUGGGAACCCGCCCUCCGGUGGGGGAUAACGCGACGAAAGUCGCGCUAAUCCCGCAUACGUCCGCAAGGGGAAAGCGCUUCGGCGCGCCGGAGGAGGGGCCUGCGGCCCAUCAGGUGGUUGGUGGGGUAACGGCCUACCAAGCCGAUGACGGGUAGCUGGUCUGGGAGGAUGACCAGCCAGACUGGGACUGAGACACGGCCCAGACUCCUACGGGAGGCAGCAGCAAGGAAUUUUCGGCAAUGGGCGCAAGCCUGACCGAGCAACGCCGCGUGCGGGAUGACGGCCUUCGGGUUGUAAACCGCUUUUCGGGGGGACGACUACGACGGUACCCCCGGAAGAAGCCCCGGCUAACUCUGUGCCAGCAGCCGCGGUAAGACAGAGGGGGCGAGCGUUGUCCGGAGUUACUGGGCGUAAAGCGCGCGCAGGCGGUGGUCUCAGUGUCGUGUGAAAGCCCCCGGCUCAACCGGGGGAGGUCAUGGCAAACUAGACGGCUGGAGCGGCGGAGAGGCCCCUCGAAUUGCCGGUGUAGCGGUGAAAUGCGUAGAGAUCGGCAGGAAGACCA
rnacentral:rRNA from 1 species